UUCAGAUGCUUGAUUCCUCGUCAUGAGCAGAGGAGGUUAAAAGAUGUGAAACUCAAACUAAAUGAUUUCUACUUGAUGAACAAUGUAACAAAGCCAUGGAAGGAAGUUGGAACUGUUGGCCAGAGAAAAAAAUAAUCUUUCCCUUACACAACUUGUCUAUGUACUUGAGACAGAAAGGUGAACAAAACAGGCAAGCUUUCUGCUCUCAUGGAGCUCACACUGAAUUGUAACUUUUAUUCACUAAGUGCUUACUAUUCUAGGCACUGUGUAUGCAUUAUCUCGUUUUUAUGCCAUAGGCAGAAAUCUGUGCUGUAUAUGGAAGAAACUUGAGACUCAGAUUAAUCAGAUUGCCCAAGGCUACCCAGCUGUCUAUGAGCCUCCAUGCUGGACGGUCCCAAGUAGGAGGUGAGUGACCUAAGGUGCUUGGCCUGGUGAGACAGUGAGGAGAAUUACCCAGCAAGAAUUAUUUUGGCAGGGCAAAAUGGCAUGUGGGUGCAUCUACAUAGAGCCGAAGAAUGUGGGUAUGGCCUUGAUCGAACCUGACUUGACUAUGGUUCUAACUAAGUUGGAGCUCCAUCAUUUGCUGAGAAGAGGCGUUCUGAGAAAGAAAGAAGCUAUGGCAGGACUCUGCACCCCACAGGUCCAUGGAGGAAUCAAGUCCCUUUGGGGUUUUGUCUCCAGAACUGUGUGGUUGGUUUCCAAGGCAAAGAAUCCUAACCUGGUGUCUAAGAGCUGGAGAGCAUCUCAGAGGUCAUUCAUUUAGUCCAAGCUUCUACCUAAGGCAGGAAUCAUUUCUCUCGGAUCCUGGACAGAAGAUCAUCCAGCCUCAGCUUGAAAUCCACUGCCAGGGCCGGGGAUUUUUCCACUUCUAAAUGCAGCAUCUUCUACCUUUGAACAGUUCUAUUGGGAUAAGUUCUGCUUUACACUGAGCCAAAAUGGGCCUUCUAAUCUUUGGUUUUGGUUAUAUCUCAUAAUGCCACACAAGUUUGAUUCUUUUUUCAAGGUUUCUUACUCAGAAAUUAAAGAUGACUUUUGGAUCCCGCCAAGUUUCCUUGUUCCAGCUGCCCCCUGUGGGAAUGUGGUUUCUGAACUCCUUACCAUCUUGUUUGUGCCUCCGUAGACAAGCGUGAGAUGGGGUUGUUCACCUUCAGAAGCAACACCGACAGCCUAUGUGAAUCCCGUGGUCCCACUCCUCUGGGUGUGGGGCCUGCAGAUACGGAGGCUGACUGGACUGCGCCAUUUUCAUCUGAGGGACCUGAACAUCCACAGAUUCUGGUAUCUGCAUGGGGUCCUGGAAUCAAUCCCCCAUGGAUACCGAAGGACAACUGUACUACCCAUAAAAGCCCAGUGGUCCGGACAUGUGUUUUCAUCAAAACUGAAGUUCGUAGGGCUUUUUUUAGUAGCCAAACUGUUAGCACCUGCUGAGUUUCUGGUCGCCAAAACCCCCAAGCUAACUCUUUCUUACCCUGUCAUGUCUUAUUCUUACCCCAUCAAUCCUAUUCAGUUCAACUGAUCUUUAGAAUCUGUGUUCAGGACUUACAUAGGUUCCUGGAAAUUUCACCUUCUUGGGUUUGUAGACCCAGAGUUUGUCUGUAAUGAAGGCUCACUAAUGCAAGACACAAAACAAUCGUAUUGACCAGGCUUUUGGUUUGAUAAGCACUCCCGGAAGUCAGCCUCUACUUGCACCCCCUCUCCACCUUCCUCUGUUUAUAUUCUUUCUUGUCUCCACCUUUUCCUGAUCCCAGAGCAGCUCAGGAACUUUAAUUGACCGUCUGUUCCGCUGCAGCAGCUCAUGCGGCCCACUGCCCUGCUGUCACUCCUGGUGAGAGCGGCCGGCCCGGGUGUAUCUUUGGGGUUUGUCACUCUGCUCACUGCUCACUCCCACGUUGUCGGUGACACUUUUAUCCUUUUUUUUUUUUUUGCUUCUGUUUGUUCUAGUCCUUCCUUUGCUCCAGCAGGCCCUGCACUUAGAUGGGAAGACCUCCACCCCCAGGGAUCGCAGUUCUUAAUUACACACCACGGAGGAAGGUGUACCUUCUCUGUGUGUGAGUGUGUGUCUGUGUGUGUGUUUUAAUAACCCCUUCAGUGUUGCAGACCCUAUCUGUUUCACUCUACCUUUGUGAUUUUUACAGGCUCCCUAACUCACCACAGGAUUCCUUUAAAGCUGAGAUAAAAGACAGUAUGGGCUGUAAGCAAGAGUCAUGGCACAGAGUUGGUUCUCAGGGCCCAGAGUGUGUCACCCCAAGUCAUCACUUCCCACCAGUCCUCCACAGGGUCCCUGGCUUGAACUGGUACCCUUCCCCUAGUUACCAGAGAUGAAUUCCGCACAUCCCUCACAGUUUGCCCCUUUCAGAGCCCUGCAUGAGGAGUGAAGAACAACCUUUGUCCCCUAGAGUCAGGCUAAGAGUCUUUGUCCUGGAAGAAAACCAGUUCCAACCCCUCUUCUCUACUUUUGGAGUUUUGUCUCUUCACACAAACAGUUUGCACUGGGGGCUCUAACUGGCUGAACUUUGAGGCAGAUUUCCAGAAUGUUCGCUGCUCUCGUCUCUGCUACUGACACUCAUCACAUUUUUUUUUAUUGAGUAUGUGUGCUUCAUCUGGUCUAAGAAACUUGCAUUUGGAGGUUUUUUUUUUUUUUUCUUUUCAGAUCUGGCCCCAGUCGGGGGAAUCCUUUUCACCUUGGCAGUUGUGACCUUACCUCCCUCAGCACAGCUUCCUGUCUGUACAAAAUGAGGAGGAUAACACCCUUUCUCUCCUCAAGGGCUUUCUUACUCUACGUAAAAAUCAUUUUACAAGUUUUAAGGACUGUGUGGUAUCGUUAUUUACUAGAAUCAUCCAUGGGCCACAUCAUAUCUAAGGGUCUAACUCAGGCUGCUGGAAAAUAUGUGACCAAUGGAAGGAAGAAAUCUAGUCCCUUGGGGGCUACAAGACUGUCACAGUGUCAGAAUCUCCAAAUUUUAGAGUAGAUGGGGCCUAACAGAUCACUUGGUCCAACCUCCUCACUUUGCUGGUGAAAAAUCAGAUGAGACAGGAGCAGGGGACUUGCCUUGAGAUUUGCUUGGGUCAGAGGAUCCGCAGAGAAGGAACAAUUCCCAGAGCUGGAGAAGGCACGAGGCAGCCAGCAAGCUGGAAACAUAGGUCAGGGAAACUAUCCAUCUUUCCACCAGGUGGAUGGUUUUUUAACCUCUUUCCUUACCCUGGGAACAACAUCUGGUUUCCUCCAGCUCACAGGCUCCUCGAAGACCCACCUGUGUCCUUUUAGCAAAUGGCUUUCCCAAGCAAACACAGCCGUGUUGUUGUUUGCCUCUCAGUCGCUCUGCUGCACAGGGAAUGAGGGCUCCACUCUUGAUCAGCCGGGGACGCCGGUGCCAAGCCUCUGAUAUAUAGUGAGGGGACUGCAGGGCAUCCGAGUUGUAACAAGAACAAGAUGAGCUUGUGGCCUCAGGCUUCUAACCUGCUCCUCAACCCACACUUCAAAGAAAGUUAUUACACAAGAGUUAGACUAAAUCAAACCAAACUGCAAUGUUUGCCAACUGUGGCCCUUUUUCAGAUCUCAUUGUAUCUCACCACUAGUCCUUCGGAAACCCAGUUGGGAGCAGAACAAAACGACCCAAUGAUAAUUUAGUUGUAGGUCUUUAAAAAGGAGCCCUACUGAUUUAUUUUGAAAUUUCAGUUAAGCAUGAUGUCAAGAAAAUCUCUCUGGCUAUUUAUCAUCUUUUUUCCUCUUGCAUAGUCUGAAUAGGGAGAAUAAAAUUAGAAACUGGCUGUUCGCAUGCUUCCAGUUUUUGUUGUGGGCAGAUGUUGUUACUAGAAUAGCAGAAGGUUAAGAUGUUUUGAUGAUAAUUUUCUGCCAAAAGAACACUCAUCAUAGCAAGAAAGGCCUUUAUUAUGCUACUUUCUCUAUCAGCAAUGUUAUACAGGUGCCGCAGGAAGAGAUACACUAGGUGAUCUAAAGAGACAUAUUUCACUUUGGUUAGAACUGCUACUCCCAUUUUUCCAAAUCCCCACAACCUGAAAGCAUGAAAAAUUGCAUUUUUCUUUUGUGGCUUUGAACAGUGGAUGCAAGAUCUAUAAGGUUUUUGAA